UCCCUAGUGGUCUAGUGGCUAAGACUCCGAGCUCACAAUGUGGGGGACCCAGGUUCAAUCCCUGGUCAGGGAA
rnacentral:tRNA from 1 species